UAAGGGAUAUUGGUCAAUGGGCGCAAGCCUGAACCAGCAACGCCGCGUGCGGGAAGACGGUUUUCGGACUGUAAACCGCUUUUCUCGGGGACGAUAAUGACGGUACCCGAGGAAGAAGUCUCGGCUAACUACGUGCCAGCAGCCGCGGUAAAACGUAGGAGGCGAGCGUUAUCCGGAUUUACUGGGCGUAAAGCGCGUGCAGGCGGAUCGAUAAGUCGUGCGUGAAAGCUCCCAGGCUUAACCGGGAGAGGACGUGCGAGACUGUCGGUCUUGAGGAAGGCAGAGGCAGGUGGAAUUCCGGGUGGAGUGGUGAAAUGCGUAGAGAUCCGGAGGAACCCCAGUGGCGAAGGCGACCUGCUCGGCCUUUUCUGACGCUCAGACGCGAAAGCAUGGGGAGCGAACGGGAUUAGAAACCCUAGUAG
rnacentral:rRNA from 1 species